CCUACGGGUGGCUGCAGUGGGGAAUAUUGGACAAUGGGCGAAAGCCUGAUCCAGCCAUGCCGCGUGUGUGAAGAAGGCCUUCGGGUUGUAAAGCACUUUCAGUGGGGAAGAAAGCCUUGGGGCUAAUACCCUCGAGGAAGGACAUCACCCACAGAAGAAGCACCGGCUAACUCCGUGCCAGCAGCCGCGGUAAUACGGAGGGUGCGAGCGUUAAUCGGAAUUACUGGGCGUAAAGCGCGCGUAGGCGGUCUGAUAAGCCGGUUGUGAAAGCCCCGGGCUCAACCUGGGAACGGCAUCCGGAACUGUCAGGCUAGAGUGCAGGAGAGGAAGGUAGAAUUCCCGGUGUAGCGGUGAAAUGCGUAGAGAUCGGGAGGAAUACCAGUGGCGAAGGCGGCCUUCUGGACUGACACUGACGCUGAGGUGCGAAAGCGUGGGUAGCAAACAGGAUUAGAUACCCGGGUGGU
rnacentral:rRNA from 1 species